AAAACCCCCCCCCCCCCCAAAAAAAAACCUUAUCAAGAACUGCAGUCCCCUUAUUACAGCAGAAGAGUAACCCACCAUAAAAUUCUCUCAAAACUGUCCAAGAAAUUUGGGAAAGAUUCAAUUUUGAUAUUUAUAAAACCAAUAUUACUGCCAUACAACUUUACUGCUACACUGAUAAUAUCGUCAAGCUCAAUGUAACAUGUACCGUAAUAUAGAUGAUAAAUAUAUGAAAAUGUGCAUAAAAUGGAAAUCUGGAAUCGAUUGAACGGUGAAGAAGAUCACCGUGGAAAUGGCAUCGGCAAAAUAGUUGGAUCCUGUUUGAGCUUCAUUGGGGUACCCCAUUUCCAUCCACGUUUUUUUUAUAAGUACACCCUUUAUCCCAACAAAAU
rnacentral:lncRNA from 1 species